GGCGAAGGGGACGCUGCAACGCGGAGCGGGAGCACGAGGAGGGAAGGGGCUUGGCAAUGGGCCCCAAAGAGGCCGAGACCCCGGGAGUGCCGGCAGCGCUCUUUAUCACGCCUGGAGGCUCCUGCAGAGCCCCGGAACCGCCCGAACCUCCAGAAAUGCAGGCAGGGUGCACUCCCCAGGGGGUACAACUUUGGCAAUGAGGACUACAGAGGUCCGGGGAGAACCGGAGACCCGAGGAGCAUGAAGGCACUCUGUGACAUCACUGCCUACAAACGCAGGGGCCGGAAUGCAGUGACAGGACACUGCUGGGAGGAAAGUCUCCCAGCGCCUCCGUGUGGGGCUGCCUCCACUCCCAAUACCGUGCGGGGGGACUAGGACGACCCUGGUAAGUCAGCCACAGGAUAUCAGUUCUCAGAAUAGAAGAGAAGCCAGGUCUGGCAGCACCUGAUGAUGGUAAGUCUCAGGUAGGACCCAUUUGCUCCCCCUCCAGCUCUUGUCCCCUCUUUCACCUUCCUGCCUUUCUAGAUGCUACAGAAAUUCCUGCUCUCGGUGGGCAGCCAGGGAGCGUCCCAGGCCUUAUCUGAAUCUCAAAUCCCAGCUCUGCCACCUACCAUCUGGGUAACUUGGGCAGGUGUCAUCAACCUCUCUGAGCCUUGUUCUCCUCUUCUGUAAAAUGCAGAUGAUAAGCAUAACUAAUUUCUUGGUAACAGCAGACGAUACUAUGCACACAAAAGGCCUAGCCCAGUGCUCGGACAGGGGACCAUCCAGUUAAGCCAGUUCCCUUCCCCCUGCACAUCGUGAGGCCCCAUCUACCAUUCUUCUUUAGUAUCCGGUGCUUGAGCUUUGCGGGGGGCUGGAGGGGUUCCUCCCAGGCUCUCCCUGUUCUGGUCCCUGGCCCCAAUGCCAUCCACAGUCUUGUCACCGCUCGGCCUCAUUAAAAGGAUACACGAGGCCGGGCACAGUGGCUCGCACCUGUAAUCCCAGCACUUUGGGAGGCCAAGACCGGCGGAUCACUUGAGGUCAGGAGUUCGAGACCAGCCUGGCCAACAUGGUGAAACCCUGUCUCUACUAAAAAUACAAAAAUUAGCCAGGCGUGGUGGUGGGCGCCUGUAAUCCCAGCCACUUGU
rnacentral:lncRNA from 10 species